CACGCAAUUUUCCGUCUCGUAAACGGUCGUUGCCAUUUGAAACGGUCAAUGCCAUUUCCGACCAUGUCCGAUUGCCAGGUCACUUGGAGUCAGUUAAAAACAGCACAGGGUGGAAUGUU